AUUAAGAAAACACAAAAAAAA
rnacentral:sRNA from 1 species